UGCCGCUUCUCUCUUUCCAUUUUCAUUAUCAAAGCUCUGCAAAAAUGGCGAUUCACAGAGGAUAGAGAGAUUUCGAGUGACAGAAAUCGCAAAACAGAUAGUGGAAAGAUCAUAUAGUUCUUGUGUAUAGUUUGUUAAUCCUUGUAUGGUGUUUUUGUGAUGAUUUUGGAGGAAAAUCUAGUAGCUGGUUGUUGAAUAUGGUGGUUUUAUUAAAAGAGAUUAAUACAAUAUUCGCAAACAUAACGAGGAAAUAUGUGAAGAACCUAGUUAGGGUUUGCAGAGAAGAGAUGAUGCUGGUAGUAAAUUUUCCCUAAUUUGUUGUUGUUGGUGGAUUGGAGGAAUUUGAAUGCUUUGCAGGAAUUGAUGAAAAUGGGUUUGUUGAUGGAUCUGAGAUAUGCCCGAUUUAUCCAGAUGGGCUUGUUUGAGCUCAGACUGAAAUAUGAAGAAGGUGUUUACUGUUGGUGGAAUGAGUUGGAGGUGAUGUUUCUGUGAACGGGAUUGAAGCUGAAUGGUGUAAGAAGAAGUUGUUACUGCAAUGGAUGUGUGCAGUUUUAGAUGGCUCUAAUGUUGUGGUUUGAGAAUGAGUAGGAACUGAAACUGCAAGGAAGGAGAUUAUGGAGCUGGCUUGGGCAGACUCCAAUGUGCAAGUGGAUGGGUUUGCUGGUGGUUGUGUUAUACUGUGGUUUACGGGUCUGGUGAUAGAGAUGGAGUUACAAUACAUACAGCUGAAGGUGAAGCAACUUGAAUGGGUUCUGGAAUUGAUUUGAUUUUGUUGGUGAUUGAAGUUCGUUGUACUGGUGAUGUCUGAAACAGAUGGGAAUAGUUAUUGCAGCUAAAAGCAUUGCAAGUAUUGAGCUGAAGCUGGUGCUUGUAUGUAGAAAUGGGUGAUGUGUUGUUGUUGAGGACAAUAACAAGGUCUGAAUUGCAGUGGUGAUGGUUGUAGCUGAGUUGAAGUCUUAAUGCAUCUAAGCUUGAUGUUGCUAUGAGGUGGAAAUGUUAUUUUAGUGAGAUGCAGUAUGUUUGGCUUGUGUUUUUUACUGAUAGAUGGAAGGGAUAUAGAGCAUAGGGAAGAAAGUUGCAGGAUGAACGCAAAUGGCUCAGGCCUUGGCAAUUAGACUAGUCAGCCUGAGCCAGUCUUCUAGGUCCUGGACACAAAAUUGCCACCACGUCAGCGAGAUGCCACCACGUCAGCGAUGGGUUAACUGUGGUUAACAUUUUCCUGAGUUAAGAACGACGGUGUUUUGGGGAUAAUUAACCCCGUUUUUUGCAAAACUGUUAUGUCGGCCAUAGUAGGAUCAUUUUGUAACCAAAUUAUAAAAGUAGGAUCAUUUUGUAACUGAAUUACAAAAAGUAUGACCAUUUUGUAAAUGGCCCUAUUUUCUUUUGCUUCUGUUUCUGUCAUUCUAGAUUGACUUAUAUCCACAGUGGUGUGUGCCUGUACGGUACAAGCUAAAUCUAUAUUCUAUAUUUAGCUUUAGCA